UGGACCAAUGAUGACUACUGAUGGUGUUUGAGUCAUGGACGAUGAAUACUGUGUGUCUGAAACUCUGAGGUCCAA
rnacentral:snoRNA from 1 species